rnacentral:rRNA from 1 species
AGAGUUUGAUCCUGGCUCAGAACGAACGCUGGCGGCAGGCCUAACACAUGCAAGUCGAACGAAGCCUUCGGGCUUAGUGGCGGACGGGUUAGUAACGCGUGGGAACGUGCCCUUCACUGCGGAAUAGCCACUGGAAACGGUGAGUAAUACCGCAUACGCCCUUCGGGGGAAAGAUUUAUCGGUGAAGGAUCGGCCCGCGUUAGAUUAGAUAGUUGGUGGGGUAACGGCCUACCAAGUCUACGAUCUAUAGCUGGUUUUAGAGGAUGAUCAGCAACACUGGGACUGAGACACGGCCCAGACUCCUACGGGAGGCAGCAGUGGGGAAUCUUGGACAAUGGGCGCAAGCCUGAUCCAGCCAUGCCGCGUGAGUGAUGAAGGCCUUAGGGUCGUAAAGCUCUUUCGCCAGAGAUGAUAAUGACAGUAUCUGGUAAAGAAACCCCGGCUAACUCCGUGCCAGCAGCCGCGGUAAUACGGAGGGGGUUAGCGUUGUUCGGAAUUACUGGGCGUAAAGCGCACGUAGGCGGAUCAGAAAGUUGGGGGUGAAAUCCCGGGGCUCAACCCCGGAACUGCCUCCAAAACUCCAGGCCUUGAGUUCCAGAGAGGGAGGGGAACCCGAGCGAACACGCGA